UACGUAGGUGGCGAGCGUUAUCCGGAAUUAUUGGGCGUAAAGAGCGCGCAGGUGGUUGAUUAAGUCUGAUGUGAAAGCCCACGGCUUAACCGUGGAGGGUCAUUGGAAACUGGUCGACUUGAGUGCAGAAGAGGGAAGUGGAAUUCCAUGUGUAGCGGUGAAAUGCGUAGAGAUAUGGAGGAACACCAGUGGCGAAGGCGGCUUCCUGGUCUGUAACUGACACUGAGGCGCGAAAGCGUGGGGAGCAAACGGGAUUAGAUACCCCGGUA
rnacentral:rRNA from 1 species